GCCAUAUCACGUUGAAACACCGGUUCCCGUAUGAUCAGUGAAGUUAAGAAACGUCGAGUCUCAUCAGUACCUACAUGGGUGGCCUCUUGGGAAUACCAAGUGAUGUAAG